GCCAGCAUGGCAUAGUGGUUUGAAUGUUGGAUUACGACUCUGGAGACCAGGGUUCAAUUCCCGGUUCAGCUA
rnacentral:tRNA from 1 species